rnacentral:rRNA from 1 species
UACGGGGGGGGCAAGCGUUGUUCGGAAUUACUGGGCGUAAAGGGCUCGUAGGCGGCCAACUAAGUCCGACGUGAAAUCCCCAGGCUUAACCUGGGAACUGCGUCGGAUACUGGAUGGCUUGAAUCCGGGAGAGGGAUGCGGAAUUCCAGGUGUAGCGGUGAAAUGCGUAGAGAUCGGGAGGAACACCUGUGGCGAAGGCGGCCCCCUGGGCCGGCCCUGACGCUGAGACGCGAAGGCGUGGGGAGCGAACAGG